GCACCUGUGCUAACCCGCUUGCAGUUAUUGUGCCUCUUUUGAACUUCUGCGUACUUUUUCUACAACUUCUUUCUGCUCCUGCACUCAUUUGCAAAGGAAAGGAGUGCGUGAAACCUAGGACGUAUUUCAAAAGUUGCAGUUUCAUUCAUGGAUGAAGAGCCAGUUGUGUGCCUGGCAAGCCAUGGCGUCUCCACGAGAAAGAAUAGUAGUGUGCGGCGAGCGAAAGUUGAAUGAUGUGAUUGCGUCCCUGAGGGAAUCAGCUUUUGCUGGAUUGGUGACAGAUGCUCUGCAAGUUCAGGUAUUCGACACAGUUCAACAAGUACAUUGAUAUGGAUGAAACAACAGUGCUCCAGCAGCACUCUGAACUCAAAGCACCGUGCCAGCACAAACGGAGGGU